rnacentral:rRNA from 1 species
AUUGAACGCUGGCGGCAGGCCUAACACAUGCAAGUCGAGCGGAUGAAGGGAGCUUGCUCCUGGAUUCAGCGGCGGACGGGUGAGUAAUGCCUAGGAAUCUGCCUGGUAGUGGGGGAUAACGUCCGGAAACGGGCGCUAAUACCGCAUACGUCCUGAGGGAGAAAGUGGGGGAUCUUCGGACCUCCGGCCAUCAGGUGAGCCUAGGUCGGAUUAGCUAGUUGGUGGGGUAAAGGCCUACCAAGGCGACGAUCCGUAACUGGUCUGAGAGGAUGAUCAGUCACACUGGAACUGAGACACGGUCCAGACUCCUACGGGAGGCAGCAGUGGGGAAUAUUGGACAAUGGGCGAAAGCCUGAUCCAGCCAUGCCGCGUGUGUGAAGAAGGUCUUCGGAUUGUAAAGCACUUUAAGUUGGGAGGAAGGGCAGUAAGUUAAUACCUUGCUGUUUUGACGUUACCAACAGAAUAAGCACCGGCUAACUUCGUG